rnacentral:misc_RNA from 1 species
AAAGUCGUAACAAGGUUUCCGUAGGUGAACCUGCGGAAGGAUCAUUACCGAAGUACAGGCCCCUUCGGGGGCUACACUUCCACCCUUUGUUCACCACACAAUUGUUGCUUUGGCGGGCCGCCUAGCUACUGGCUUCGGCUGGUAAGUGCCCGCCAGAGACCCCCAAACCCAAACCAUUUACAGUGUCGUCUGAAUAAAAAGUUUAAUAUUUAAAACUUUCAACAACGGAUCUCUUGGCUCUG